GUGCCAGCCGCCGCGGUAAUACAGAGGUCCCAAGCGUUGUUCGGAUUUACUGGGCGUAAAGGGUGCGUAGGUGGUGGGGUAAGUCUGAUGUGAAAUCUCCGAGCUUAACUCGGAAAUGGCAUUGGAAACUACUUCGCUCGAGGGUUAGAGGGGGGACUGGAAUUCUCGGUGUAGCAGUGAAAUGCGUAGAUAUCGAGAGGAACACCGGUGGCGAAGGCGAGUCCCUGGACAACUCCUGACACUGAGGCACGAAAGCUAGGGGAGCAAACAGGAUUAGAAACCCUGGUAGUCC
rnacentral:rRNA from 1 species